GCCAGGCUGGACGCGCUGAGUCUCUCCUGGUCCAGGCCUGGGCAGCCAGAUCUAGGCCGCCGGGGUGCGAGGCGGGACGAUGGCAAAGCUCACCCCCUUCCCUCCCUGAGCGAGCGGGCGCCGGCAGGCAGAGGCGCAGCACUCCAUGGCGGCGUGAGAUCCGCGGUGGCGCGGCCGGGCGGGGUCUCCAGGGCCACGGUCACGCCUGGAUGAGCGCAAUUGUCACCCGCGCUCCCGCCCGCUACCCCCGCAGCAGUGUCCUGCCCAGCGCCACCCGCGCUCCGGGACCAGAGCAAGUCAUGUCCGCUGGGACCCAGCGCGCGUUAGGGAAAGGGCCGCCCGUGCGUCGCCCUCUCCCCGCCCUGGGCACCUUGGCUUCCCGAGCGCCGCCCGGGUGGUGGGGCUGCCGCGGAGGCCGAGAACCCGGGAGAGGACGAUGCCCCCGGACGGCUGCAACUGGAGGAUGUCACGGAUGGAUGUAUGGGACGGUCUUCAGAAACUGGGCCAGGAAGCCUUGAGACGUGGACUCCAGAGGUGGCACGCACUGCUUAGGACAAGUUUCUCACGGCUUGAAAUGAAGGUGUCCUGAACCCACACUCAUUUUAUCUCCUGUUUUAAGGCCUAAACUGAUAGGAUUGGAUAUUGUGCUCUGCUUUUUCAUACCUGUCUUAAAAUUUUCUCAAGUACUGACUUCACCUCUUUGAACUUUGACUUAAGUUCUGACAAGGAUGGGCACAACAGGGAGAUGAAGAGGUGACAAGAGGACCAGGAGAAUCCAGCUAAAGACUAAAUUUCAACUGUUUUUUAUCAUAAUGUAUAAAGGAGCAAGCAACAAAAACAUGUAAACA